GAUGCUUGAGCAGUUUUACCCAAACUUAGUUGCUUUGUCAUAUGUGUGUUGACUUUGCACUGGGAGCAAAACUUUGUACUUCCCUCAUAAACAAUUUUGAAAAGAGAAAGCUUGCCAUCAAUCUCUAGUUCGACUUCUGGCUUUGGUGAAAAACUAAGGGGAACAUCAACAAGGAGACGAGCAAAACCCAUACGAGUCAUUUGACGAAUAUAGUGAUCAUUUCUAGCAGUUCUCCACAAAGGGCAAAGCUAUCACUGCAAGAAUAAUUUGGGUUCAGUGGCAUAGUUGCCAUGUGCACCACUGAAGACCACCCUUUUAUGGCAUUCGCAGGGGCGGCAUCACUCUACAGGUCAUCUAUGGCGCUCAAAAAGAAAUGCCAUGCGGGCUUAAGUUACUGACAUGUUUGAAAUGCCAGAAUAAACGAAACCAAUUAGGGCGCCUAUUAAACUCCAUUGAAGAUAAGAACCUAAGGCGUCUUUUGGGAGCCACUGAAGAUAGAUUGAGGGCGCUGUUGGGAUACCACUUAAGAAAAAAUUAGCGCACAUGUUAACCGCCACCAAGGAACAUUUAUCGCUAUUUUUCCUAUUCGUGAUUAGUUUUGUCUGCUUUGGCCAUUUCCACGCUUCAACUUGUUGUUCCCUCCUCCAGCAUUCUAUUCACUGGUUUUCCUAUGAAUUCUUUUGGAGCUUGCAGAAGAUCCCUCUCUAGCUUGCUUGAUAUUGUGCCCGUGGUGUUUCAAUCACACUCGCUGUUGUCACCAGAGGCAGAGAUAUGCAGUGGAGGAUGAGCAGUUUGAGAUAUUGGCUAGUCAAUUAUGGUGCAAGACUUCUCUUUCCUAUUAUUCAAGCUCAGUUCCUAUCCGGUGUUAUGUUUCACUAGAAUUAGCUAGUAAGGGGAAAGUAGCCAAAGGCACUGGUUCUCACAUUAUAGAGGAAACAAAAUCGUGAGCCUUGGUGGACAUUUUUUAUCAUCAGCCUGACAAGUUUCUUACUCUUAAGCAGCUGCGUGCGUGUUGUGCCUGCUUUCGGUCACUUUUCUCAAUCUUUGAUAUCAACAGUUCUCUCCCUUUCCUCCCCCUCUCGGCUUCCCAACUGUCAGGAGGACUGUUACUUUGUAUGGUUGGGAUCAUGGGGAGAAGAGCCUGCAUAUUACUUGUUCUCCUACAUAGAUGAAAUUUUGUAAAUGUGUACAGAUGUGUAUGCCUUUGAAUAUGGAAAAAUAUAUAUAUAUAUGUAUGCACUAUAUCGUUGUUCUUAUUGUAUCUAUACAUUCGUAUGUACCAAAAUUUUAUUUUAAUGACACUAACUUUUAUAUU